rnacentral:misc_RNA from 1 species
GGUUGAGAUACAUCAUAGAUCCAAGACUUGCAGGCCAAUAUUCUGUGAAGGGGGCAAAGCAAAUUGGCCUUUUAGCAUUGCAAUGCAUAAGUGUGAACCCCAAAGACAGGCCCAAAAUGCCAGCCAUUGUUGAAACACUUGAAGCCCUGCAACAGUACAAGGACAUGGCUGUCACUUGUGGGCAAUGGCCUCCUUCACCAAAAUCUAAGGCUAGAAAUGGAGUUUCAACUCAAGUGAGACUCCAAGCAAGACAAAAUAAGUAAAUCUC